GGAGGAGCAGAAGCCCCAAGCUGUGCCCAUCUGGGCAGAGGGAUCCUCCUCGUCUCAUCACUGCUGAAGAGGGGAGUGAUAGAGAGCAGCUUUCGUGGGCAUGUGGCAUCCAGGCAGAGCCAAGCCAGGACAUUCCAUCAGACAUGGAGGUGUUUCCCAGCAGUUUUCCAUGUGAAGUGUACCUGUUGGUGCAGUCAGGAAUUCAGUGUGACCAACUACAAAGAGGAAGCUAAAAAAUCUUAUUUUUUUUUUAACCUGCUGUACAUUUAUUAGAGGCUCCACGAA